GACGAACGCUGGCGGCGUGCUUAACACAUGCAAGUCGAACGGAAAGGCCCUGCUUUUGUGGGGUGCUCGAGUGGCGAACGGGGGAGUAACACGUGAGUAACCUGCCCUUGACUUUGGGAUAACUUCAGGAAACUGGGGCUAAUACCGGAUAGGAGCUCCUGCUGCAUGGUGGGGGUUGGAAAGUGUCGGCGGUUGGGGAUGGACUCGCGGCUUAUCCGCUUGAUGGUGGGGUAGUGGCUUACCAAGGCUUUGACGGGUAGCCGGCCUGAGAGGGUGACCGGCCACAUGGGGACUGCGAUACGGCCCAGACUCCUACGGGAGGCAGCAGUGGGGAAUAUUGCACAACGGGCGGAAGCCUGAUGCAGAAACGCCGCGUGCGGGAUGACGUCCUUCGGGUUGUAAACCGCUUUCGCCGGUGACGAAGCGUGAGUGACGGUAAUGGGUAAAGAAGCACCGGCUAACUACGUG
rnacentral:rRNA from 1 species